rnacentral:rRNA from 1 species
GGUGGCGAGUGGCGAACGGGUGAGUAAUACAUCGGAACGUACCCAGAAGUGGGGGAUAACGCAGCGAAAGUUGCGCUAAUACCGCAUACGUUCUACGGAAGAAAGUGGGGGAUCUUCGGACCUCAUGCUUUUGGAGCGGCCGAUGUCUGAUUAGCUAGUUGGUGGGGUAAAGGCCUACCAAGGCGACGAUCAGUAGCUGGUCUGAGAGGACGACCAGCCACACUGGAACUGAGACACGGUCCAGACUCCUACGGGAGGCAGCAGUGGGGAAUUUUGGACAAUGGGCGCAAGCCUGAUCCAGCAAUGCCGCGUGAGUGAAGAAGGCCUUCGGGUUGUAAAGCUCUUUUGUCAGGGAAGAAACGGUUCCGGCUAAUAUCCGGAGCUAAUGACGGUACCUGAAGAAUAAGCACCGGCUAACUACGUGCCAGCAGCCGCGGUAAUACGUAGGGUGCAAGCGUUAAUCGGAAUUACUGGGCGUAAAGCGUGCGCAGGCGGUUUUGUAAGUCUGUCGUGAAAGCCCCGGGCUCAACCUGGGAAUUGCGAUGGAGACUGCAAGGCUUGAAUCUGGCAGAGGGGGGUAGAAUUCCACGUGUAGCAGUGAAAUGCGUAGAGAUGUGGAGGAACACCGAUGGCGAAGGCAGCCCCCUGGGUCAAGAUUGACGCUCAUGCACGAAAGCGUGGGGAGCAAACAGGAUUAGAUACCCUGGUAGUCCACGCCCUAAACGAUGUCUACUAGUUGUCGGGUUUUAAUUAACUUGGUAACGCAGCUAACGCGUGAAGUAGACCGCCUGGGGAGUACGGUCGCAAGAUUAAAACUCAAAGGAAUUGACGGGGACCCGCACAAG